UNGCUUGCAGGUUAAGUUGGGUGUGUGA
rnacentral:piRNA from 1 species